rnacentral:rRNA from 1 species
AUUGACCGCUGGCGGCAGGCUUAACACAUGCAAGUCGAGCGAGCGGCGGACGGGUGAGUAAUGUCUGGGAAACUGCCUGAUGGAGGGGGAUAACUACGGGAAACGGUAGAUAAUACCGCAUAACAUCAGAUGUGCCCAGCUGGUUGUAGCUAGUAGGUGGGGUAAUGGCUCACCUAGGAGAGUAUCCCUAGCUGGUCUGAGAGGAAGACCAGCCACACUGGAACUGAGACACGGUCCAGACUCCUACGGCAGGCAGCAGUGGGGAAGAUUGCACAAUGGGCGCAAGCCUGAGGCAGCCAUGCCGCGUGUGUGAAGAAGGCCUUCGGGUUGUAAAGCACUUUCAGCGAGGAGGCGUUACUCGCAGAAGAAGCACCGGCUAACUCCGUGCCAGCAGCCGCGGUAAUUC